UACAGAGGCCACGAGCGUUAGGCGGAAUCACUGGGCUUAAAGCGUGUGUAGGUGGAUGGGUAAGUACCUUGUGAAAUCCCACGGCUCAACCGUGGAACUGCUUGGUAUACUGCCUGUCUUGAGGCACUCAGGGGCGAGCGGAACAGAUGGUGGAGCGGUGAAAUGCGUAGAUAUCAUCUGGAACGCCAAUGGUGAAGACAGCUCGCUGGGGGUGUACUGACACUGAGACACGAAAGCCAGGGGAGCAACGGG
rnacentral:rRNA from 1 species